rnacentral:rRNA from 1 species
GAUGAACGCUGGCGGCGUGCCUAAUACAUGCAAGUCGAGCGAACAGACGAGGAGCUUGCUCCUCUGACGUUAGCGGCGGACGGGUGAGUAACACGUGGAUAACCUACCUAUAAGACUGGGAUAACUUCGGGAAACCGGAGCUAAUACCGGAUAAUAUAUUGAACCGCAUGGUUCAAUAGUGAAAGACGGUUUUGCUGUCACUUAUAGAUGGAUCCGCGCCGCAUUAGCUAGUUGGUAAGGUAACGGGUUACCAAGGCAACGAUGCGUAGCCGACCUGAGAGGGUGAUCGGCCACACUGGAACUUGAACACGGUCCAGACGCCUACGGGAGGCAGCAGUAGGGAAUCUUCCGCAAUGGGCGAAAGCCUGACGGAGCAACGCCGCGUGAGUGAUGAAGGUCUUCGGAUCGUAAAACUCUGUUAUUAGGGAAGAACAAAUGUGUAAGUAACUAUGCACGUCUUGACGGUACCUAAUCAGAAAGCCACGGCUAACUACGUG